rnacentral:misc_RNA from 1 species
GUAGGUGAACCUGCGGAAGGAUCAUUAUUGAAAAUAAACCUGAUGGGUUGUUGCUGGCUCUCUAGGGAGCAUGUGCACACCUUGUCAUCUUUAUAUCUCCACCUGUGCACCUUUUGUAGACAUCUUUCCCUAGGUGUCUAUGUUGAUUCUUCAUUUACCCCCAAUGUAUGUCAAUAGAAUGUUGUGAUAAAAAUCUAUACAACUUUCAGCAACGGAUCUCUUGGCUCUC